GUCUUAAGUCUAAGCAGAGUGCAGUCUAUAGAUCUCACCCUAAGUCUACAUGUAUAUUUUAUACAUUUGGUUUUAAAUUUUUGUGCUUAACGUAGGCUAGACUAAAAUUAUGGCUUAUUUUGUUGUACUUAUACUACACAAUCUCUAAACUAAACUAAAAUUCCGGGUCUUAAUUAUUGCUAUCCCUUUCAUUAUGUUUAUUGCAGAAAAAGAUAGCACUAGAUUUAGACUAUUUCAGUUUAAAUAUUGUGUAUAACAAAAUUAGACAAAAUGUGUGGAUUAGCUCAGCCUAAGUUAACAUUUAUUUCAAAAACAGUUAGUUUUCAUUUUAGAUAUCUUUCAAACAGAACUGAAUAAAAUAAAAUGUUUCACUAUUUGACCGAAACCCGUUCCCUAAAUUCCUUCUAUGUAAUAUUUUUCCUUGACAUAUAAAGGCUUAGGCAGACAAAUCGCGUGAUGGAAAACUUUAACGCGAUUUCAAGAAGUCAUACACAAGUGACAUGGUAACUUGCGCAAGUUAUAGACUCUUAGUCCUCCUGAGAUCUUGUAUUAUAAUACGCAGCCAUACGCCUGGUGUUCAGAUAAAGGUAUUUUUAAAUAUUACGGAAUGCGCGUUCUGUCUGCCCAGGCCUUAAAGUUGUGUACAAAAUGUAUACGUACGAAUGGUAUCUGAUAAUUCUGUCCAAUGAAAAAAUAUUAUACUGUUGAAUCUCCAAUAUUAAUCGUACAUAUUAUUAUCGUAUUAAUAAGCUUAAUUUGAUUUACAACUUUUAAAUUUGUAAGAUCGAUCGGCCACAAAAACACUAAAUAAAUUAUAAAGAAGAUCUUUCUACAUCUACUAGCGAUCAAAACUUGUAAAAAUCAAUUUUCAAAAGUUACUUUUUUAAUGAGAAAACUUGCUGCGAGUGCUAAGGUCCAUUAUCCACCACAGCGCAUGUGACUUACCAGAGUUACUAGUGGACACUUGGCCUUAGUUGCACCAAUUUUUUUAAGUAGAAUUUUCUAUAUCUAUCCUUUUCUCGUCAACCCUGAGACAAACUUGUUAAAAAGUGUCAAAAUUUUUGUCGCCGAUUCGAUCAGUAUAUUAUAUGUUUUAAGAAAUCAAUGUUUGUGCUAAUUCUAAAAAUAUUAGAGUAAUGCAUUAAACUUAAAGGAAUUGAUUAAUCGUUUGGUCGUUGGAUUUUGAACUUUAUUGUAACGUGGAUAACUUUUGAUAUUGUAUGCGAGGGCGUGAGACUGGUUGCAUAUUUUCGUAUACGUAUUUCAAGCGAAAUGCGUUUUAUAUCUCGAAGAUAGAAGAGAGGAGGUUUUUUGAUAAACGUGCUUUUUGAAUACGAACUUUUUUUUUAGAUAUCCAUCAUUAAAAAACUUAAAAAUAUUUAUGUAAACUGCUUUGACUGGGUUAAAUGUAGUCUCAUUAUUUUCACAAAGCUCUUGGCUGAAAAGGAUAGCCGAAAUUCAAUUGUUAUUAUAGUUAAGUUAAAUUUUGUUUCUUUUUUUCGUAGACUUGCCUCAUAUUAUGAUAGCUUCGGCUACGUACCAUGAGAUCAAAAAAGGCUAUUGAUUUUCUGUUAAGAAAUAAUCCGUAACAUCCGUGUUGAGAAGUUGGUGGUGUUGUCCCCCGUGCCUCGGAGAGCACGUAAAGCCGUCGGUUGUGCGCCUGAUCUGUCUCCGGUCGUGUCGGAUUGCCCGUCCCAUCAGACUAUGAGAGCAAGUCAGAGAGUGCCUGUGUUGCACUAUAAUGUGUUCUUGGUAGUUGGCUAGUCUCCAUAAGAUUGGUCGCCACGGCAAUUUAGUCGGGAGGAAUAGAGUACUUAAUACUUAUUAAUAUUUUUUUUUUUCAUUUCCGUUGGGCAUUUCUUUUUUAAAUUACUUAUAAAGAUUUAUUUUUUAUUUUUUGUUUUGUUUCCUUUGAGGAAGUUCGUAUUUAAAAGGCAUCAUAAAAAGUUUGUGUGGAAUAAAUCUUUGAAUUGCUUUUGUAAAUUUCGCUUGAAGCCAAAGAUGUAUUUUUGAUUGUGUUCACUUAAUAUUCCAAGAACUCUGUGUGUUGUGUUCGAUAUGAUGUGUAUAUUGUUUGAGCCUCGGAAUGCAGUUCUCCAAUAAACUUAUAAAAAGAGGCAUUUAUCUUGUCUACACUCAUAUCUCAAAAUCCUGGUUACAAAAUCAAAAAGAGUUAUAGUUCUGGCAAUUUACGAGGGUGCGUGAGCUGUACUUGUGGUUACAUCGUAUACAUGGGUAUUGCGUAAGUGUGCGUGCCUAACGGGCCAAUCAGCAAGCGCUCGCAAACACACACAUUUACUUUACGUAUACUGAUACGACUUAAACACAAGCAUGAGCCGUGGCUCCUCAAAUGCAAGUGCUAUACUAUUAAUGAGCCAUGACCUCACGCCAUUUAACCAUGAUUUUUUGGAUGAAAUUUGGAUUUUAAGAUAUGGGUUUAGAUAAAGUAGUGUAUGAAACUGCAAUUAAUUAGGUAUUAAGACACUCGUGUUUUAAUAACCUCUGUUAUGAAUCAGUUUCAUAAACAUAACGUUUAGGGCAGUGUCACAUUGUGCUAUAAAGUUAGCUACCGAUUAGUUGCCAAUAUUAUUAAGAAUACAAAUUUAUUGUAGUUAAAUGACACAAUUUUCUGUUUUCUGUUUAUCUUUUUUUGGACCUAAAAAGUCAUAGCAAUGUAAAAUUUAAUAAUCUUGUUUUAUUUCAAUAGACGUUUCAGUGACGUCAUUAAAAUAUUUACAUAGAAUCUUUAUCUCAAUUAGAAAAAGUAAAAGAUUAGUUUAAUCGAUUUAGUUCUGUCAAUAUUUUGGAAAAAGAUGCACAAAUCUCAAAUUUAGUUUAGUUUUAGUGAGUUAGGUAACGAAACCACCAUGCAUUUAACAAAUUGAGGUACCAAUUGAGUUGCCAAGUAAAUGUGGUUAAUUCUGUUAUACUCAAUCUCUAAACUCUAAACUAAAAUUACAGGUAGGUGAGUAUGAAUGUAUUGCUAUCGCUUUCAUAAUGCUCCAUGCGGAUAAGGAUAGCACCUAUCAAUAUAGUCUAGAGAUUGUGCACAAUAGAAUUUACCACAACGUGGCUAAUUUUGUUGUGCAUAAUAUCUAUACUAGACUAAAUUGACUAGUUUUGAUCUAGUGCUAUCCCUCUACGCGGGGAGCAUUAUAAAAGAGAUAGCAAUACAUAUAGAUCUUUCAUUUUAGUUCAGUUAGUGUGUAUAACAGAAUUUUCCACAAUUUGGCUGAUUCUGUUGAACACAAUUUCUAAACUAAAACAAAAUUGAGAUGUUUCAAUCUCGUGCUAUCCUUUUCGAAAGGGAGCAUUAUGAAAGGAAUAGCAAUAUAUUUAGACCUGUCAAUGACAGGCUGACAUUUUAGUUUAGAGAUUGUGUACAAUAGAAUAAACCUCAGUCAAUGUAAUAGAUCAACAGUUUACUUAAAUAUAGUUUUUUAAAUGGUGUACUGUGACACAGUCUUUUAAAUUAGUUUUGAAAUAUUUUUUCUGUAAUAUAAAACUACUAACUUAUAUAAAAACUUGUAUGUAUAUUUUAGAGUUUGAUUAAUAUAUAUCUUUUUAGUUGAUAAAACAAUUGUUAUUAUAUAGUUAUAUAAGCAAUAAAAACGCAUCCGCGUGUCCCUGUAUGUUGUAAUAUAAUGUUGUUGAGAGUUGAUACAACUAAGUCACUUACAUUAGUUUUAUUUAAAUAAAAAAAACAUGAAAAUGUAUUUAUUUAUUAAAUAUGAAUUAACAUUCAUGAGGGUU